UUCACAUGUUCACAUGAUUAAAGGUAUUCCGGUAGACGAUGGGGAUGCGUUCCAUUAGAUAGUAGGCGGGGUAACGGCCCACCUAGUCUUCGAUGGAUAGGGGUUCUGAGAGGAAGGUCCCCCACAUUGGAACUGAGACACGGUCCAAACUCCUACGGGAGGCAGCAGUGAGGAAUAUUGGUCAAUGGGCGAGAGCCUGAACCAGCCAAGUAGCGUGAAGGAUGACUGCCCUAUGGGUUGUAAACUUCUUUUAUAAAGGAAUAAAGUCGGGUAUGUAUACCCGUUUGCAUGUACUUUAUGCAUAAGGAUCGGCUAACUCCGUGCCAGCAGCCGCGGUAAUACGGAGGAUCCGAGCGUUAUCCGGAUUUAUUGGGUUUAAAGGGAGCGUAGAUGGAUGUUUAAGUCAGUUGUGAAAGUUUGCGGCUCAACCGUAAAAUUGCAGUUGAUACUGGAUAUCUUGAGUGCAGUUGAGGCAGGCGGAAUUCGUGGUGUAGCGGUGAAAUGCUUAGAUAUCACGACGAACUCCGAUUGCGAAGGCAGCCUGCUAAGCUGCAACUGACAUUGAGGCUCGAAAGUGUGGGUAUCAAACAGGAUUAGAUACCCUGGUAGUCCACACGGUA
rnacentral:rRNA from 1 species